CUUGACUAGGUUUGGUCAUUCCAGAUCUACCUUCUCACUCUUGACUCUCCCUCUCCCUUUCUCUCUCACUCUCACGCCUCCACCCUUACCGCCACCACGACGCCUCACUCUCCCUCUCCCUUUAUCUCUGAAACCCAGCCCCCACCGCCACUUCUCACUCUCACGCCUUUUCCACCACCGCGACGCCUCCACUGCCAUCACGAUGCCUCCACUGUGAUGCCUCACCAGCCGCCGACUCUCACUCUCACUCUCUCUCUCUCAGAUCGGCCGAGACCAUAGGCUUAAAGAAGAAGAAGAAGAGAAGUGGUUGCCACAGCCGCCAGUCCCUGAAGAUGGAUUAGAUUCUGUGGGAAGUAAACUGGAGUUAGAUGAGGGGGAGCCUGGGGAUAUAGUUGACGGUCCUGAUACGUCCUCAUUUAUUGCAUUCCACACAAAUGGAGUUAUGGAAAUGGAGUUAUCAUACAAAUUUAAGGAUUUAAUCGUUCUGUGUUGUGAUACCUGCACCCGUGUAAAUUGAGAAAUGGAUUUUAUUGCCGGGCAGUGGAGAAUCAACCAGCUCAAUCCGCUAUUACUCUCAACCAACGCCCAAACAAGAAGAAAGUUUUGGGUUGGGCAGGUCUUGGAGCUGCUCAUCACCUCUGUAAACAAGAGGAUUUUAGUGCUUUGACGUGAUGGUGAUUGAAGGCGGAUAUGAAUUUGGACCCAAGAACAAGCCUCUUAGUCCAGACGAUAUUGGUAGAUCAAUUAAGAAGCAAGUGAUAAGGAAACUCUUGUGGAAACUUAUGAAGACACAUGAAAAGAAGGGGAAGGAGAACAUAUUUUGUUAUUUUAUUUCUUUCAUUGUUUGUAUAAGAAAAACAACUUUCAUUAUUA